rnacentral:rRNA from 1 species
UACGUAGGAAGCAAGCGUUAUCCGGAUUUACUGGGCGUAAAGUGAGCGUAGGUGGCCUUUCAAGUCGGAUGUGAAAUCUCCUGGCUUAACUGGGAGGGGUCAUUCGAUACUGUUGGGCUAGAGGACAUCAAGGGAAGGUGGAAUUCCGGGUGUAGUGGUGAAAUGCGUAGAUAUCCGGAGGAACACCAGUGGCGAAGGCGGCCUUCUGGGAUGUUUCUGACACUGAGGCUCGAAAGUGUGGGGAGCGAACAGG